UACAGAGACUGCGAGCGUUGUUCGGAAUUACUGGGCGUAAAGGGCGCGUAGGCGGCCGGCUAAGUCGAACGUGAAAUCCCCGGGCUCAACCCGGGAACUGCGUCCGAUACUGGCAGGCUUGAAUCCGGGAGAGGGAUGCGGAAUUCCAGGUGUAGCGGUGAAAUGCGUAGAUAUCUGGAGGAACACCGGUGGCGAAGGCGGCAUCCUGGACCGGUAUUGACGCUGAGGCGCGAAAGCGUGGGGAGCAAACAGG
rnacentral:rRNA from 1 species